rnacentral:rRNA from 1 species
CCUACGGGAGGCAGCAGUGGGGAAUAUUGCACAAUGGGGGAAACCCUGAUGCAGCGACGCCGCGUGAGUGAAGGAGUAUUUCGGUAUUUAAAGCUCUAUCAGCAGGGAAGAUAAUGACGGUACCUGACUAAGAAGCGCCGGCUAACUACGUGCCAGCAGCCGCGGUAAUACGUAGGGGGCAAGCGUUAUCCGGAUUUACUGGGUGUAAAGGAUGCGUAGGUGGCAGGUCAAGUCAGAUGUGAAAGGCCCGGGCUCAACCCCGGUACUGCAGUUGAAACUGUCAGACUGGAGUGCAGGAGAGGUAAGCGGAAUUCCUAGUGUAGCGGUGAAAUGCGUAGAUAUUAGGAGGAACACCAGUGGCGAAGGCGGCUUACUGGACUGUAACUGACACUGAGGCACGAAAGCGUGGGGAGCAAACAGGAUUAGAUACCCGGGUAGUC